rnacentral:rRNA from 1 species
AUAAGGGCGCACGGUGGAUGCCUUGGCACUAGGAGCCGAUGAAGGACGGGACUAACACCGAUAUGCUUUGGGGAGCUGUACGUAAGCUAUGAUCCAGAGAUUUCCGAAUGGGGGAACCCAGCAUCUUUAAUAGGAUGUUACGAUUGUGUGAAUACAUAGCACAUUCGAGGUAGACGCAGAGAACUGAAACAUCUAAGUACCUGCAGGAAGAGAAAGAAAAUUCGAUUCCCUGAGUAGCGGCGAGCGAAACGGGAAAAGCCCAAACCAACAAGCUUGCUUGUUGGGGUUGUAGGACUCCAAUAUGGUCGUUCUUUCAGAUAGUCGAAUGACUUGGAAAAGUCAGUCAAAGAGGGUAAAAACCCCGUAGACGAAAUGUGGAAGACACCUAGGAGGAUCCUGAGUACGGCGGAACACGAGAAAUUCCGUCGGAAUCCGGGAGGACCAUCUCCCAAGGCUAAAUACUCCCUAGUGACCGAUAGUGAACCAGUACCGUGAGGGAAAGGUGAAAAGCACCCCGGAAGGGGAGUGAAAUAGAACCUGAAACCGUGUGCCUACAACAAGUCAAAGCCCGUUAAUGGGUGAUGGCGUGCCUUUUGUAGAAUGAACCGGCGAGUUACGAUUGCAUGCGAGGUUAAGUUGAAGAGACGGAGCCGCAGCGAAAGCGAGUCUGAAUAGGGCGUUUGAGUAUGUAGUCGUAGACCCGAAACCAUGUGAUCUACCCAUGUCCAGGUUGAAGGUGCGGUAAAACGCACUGGAGGACCGAACCCACGUACGUUGAAAAGUGCGGGGAUGAGGUGUGGGUAGCGGAGAAAUUCCAAACGAACUUGGAGAUAGCUGGUUCUCUCCGAAAUAGCUUUAGGGCUAGCCUCGGAAUUGAGAAUGAUGGAGGUAGAGCACUGUUUGGACUAGGGGCCCAUCUCGGGUUACCGAAUUCAGAUAAACUCCGAAUGCCAUUCAUUCAUAUCCGGGAGUCAGACUGUGAGUGAUAAGAUCCAUAGUCGAAAGGGAAACAGCCCAGACCACCAGCUAAGGUCCCAAAAUAUAUGUUAAGU